GCAAGACUUAUGCUUGUCUUCCCAUUCCAUCAUAACCCAGAAGUUAAAACACGAAAAAGAAAAAUCUGUGAGAGAGAGAGAGAGAGAGAGAGAGAGUUAUUUAUAGUAAGAGAAAAAAGAAAGGCAAAUAUGCACCUGUAAGCAUGGUGGGUAUCUUCCCACGAUUCUCUAGGAGAACUGGGCUUAGACGGACUCAAAGUGCAUUUGAUGGAAGGCAAGUGUUGCCACCGAUUUCCAAGGGCUCUGAGGGUUCUCAUCCUAGUACUAUUGCUGCUGCACCUGCUCCCUCCCAUGGAAUUGAAGUGGUUGCAGAGUUUAAGCCUGUUUAAUACCCAAUUGAGCCUCUGGACAAUGAUCGGUCAGUAAAAUGCCCCUUGCCAGAGCCUUCCAUUAUGAAUGAUGCGACAAUAUGGAAGGAACGGAUGCCAGCAAAUUUACAAAGAAGGGCUGACUUGCCAGUUAUGACAGAAGGGGCCAACCUUAAAUCUGAAUCUGAAGCUGAAGCUGGUGGAACAAGUCAAUCUCCAGCCCCAUCUAAUUUCGUGAUUUCACCUUCCCUUAGUGCGCCGCAGAACAAUAUCAUCAAAUUGCUGAAAGCAUGUAGUACAUCUGGGGUCUAAAAUGACUCUUACUGCUUAAUCAUCCUUGAGAUUUGUUUUCACUAUCAUCUUAUUAAGUGCUUCCAUGUAUUUUUAUUUUCUCCCCCUCCCCUUCUCCUCACUUCUAUAUUUUCUUUUUUGUUUCACAUUCUUAUUUAUAGUAGUUGACUUGUAAAAAUCUAUUGUCAGAGAAAGAAGUUAGAUUAUGUGUAAUCAUCAUGUAAUCAAAUUAUUGGAGAGUAACAUGAUAUGUAUUUGUGUUUAU